rnacentral:rRNA from 1 species
GACGAGCGCUGGCGGCGCGCUUAACACAUGCAAGUCGAGCGAGAACCAGGGCUUCGGCCCUGGGGACAGCGGCGAACGGGUGAGUAACACGUGGAUAACCUGCCCUCGGCACCGGGAUAGCCCGGGGAAACCCGGAUUAAUACCGGAUGGCCCGUCCAGCUCUCGAGCCGGCCGGAAAAGGUAGCUUCGGCCUCCGGCCGAGGAAGGGUCCGCGGCGGAUUAGCUUGUUGGCGGGGUAACGGCCCACCAAGGCGACGAUCCGUAGCUGGUCUGAGAGGACGAUCAGCCACACUGGGACUGAGACACGGCCCAGACUCCUACGGGAGGCAGCAGUGGGGAAUCUUGCGCAAUGGGCGAAAGCCUGACGCAGCGACGCCGCGUGAGGGAAGAAGGCCUUCGGGUUGUAAACCUCUUUCAGGAGGGACGAAGCUACUCGGGUGAACAGCCCAGAGGGUGACGGUACCUCCAGAAGAAGCCCCGGCUAACUACGUGCCAGCAGCCGCCGCAG